AGAUUGAACGCUGGCGGCAGGCCUAACACAUGCAAGUCGAGCGGCAGCACGGGUACUUGUACCUGGUGGCGAGCGGCGGACGGGUGAGUAAUGCCUAGGAAUCUGCCUGGUAGUGGGGGAUAACGCUCGGAAACGGACGCUAAUACCGCAUACGUCCUACGGGAGAAAGCAGGGGACCUUCGGGCCUUGCGCUAUCAGAUGAGCCUAGGUCGGAUUAGCUAGUUGGUGAGUAAUGGCUCACCAAGGCGACGAUCCGUAACUGGUCUGAGAGGAUGAUCAGUCACACUGGAACUGAGACACGGUCCAGACUCCUACGGGAGGCAGCAGGUGGGAAUAUUGGACAAGUGGGCGAAAGCCUAGAUCCAGCCAUGCCGCGUGUAGUGAAGAAGGUCUUCGGAUUAG
rnacentral:rRNA from 1 species